ACCACCACCAUCAUCUAACUCACAAUCAAACUCAUUUAUCUUGAAAAUCUCUAAAAACCUUUUCCUUCUUCUUCAUCGAACACACCUCCAACAUAAUACUCAUUUAUAAAUGAGCUUUGUCCACCAACCAUACCACACCAACAUACACACACCACAUAGUAGUAUAUCAGAAGCCCUUAUCAACAAAAGCUCUUCUUCCAACAAAGGUCUCAAAUAAUUCUCCAAAUUCUAACUAACAAAACAUGGUUCCGUUUCAUUAGCACGUUUUAACCUUGACCCAUUUCUCAAAAUCAAGUCUUUCCUAAAAUUUCCAACUUUUUUACUAGAAAAAUCUCUUCCUAAUUCAUUAACAAAAGAAUGCUUCAGAUCUUUUUGUUUGGCAACAACAAUUUUUUCAUCACCAUCAGAUUUUCUAGGGUGUUUGGUGAAUGUGCUUAUUACUAGAUUUUUCUUUUGAUGUUUUUUCUUCUCGGUAUGAAGUAUGGAGAUCAAGAGGGAACACUCUGAAGAUUGUUGGUAAACUUUAAUUUUAACUUUAGGAAAUUUAAAACAAAAAUGGAAAAACAAUAAGAAUUAUCAUAUGUUGUGAGUCUACGGUAUGUCACGUGUGCUUUUUAAAUUCAACCGUUGAUCACCAAUUUUAAAUGACAUAUGGAAAUGAGUUAAUAGAUUUUGCAAAAUACUAACGGAGAUGACCAAAAUAUUAAACGACAUAAGAUUUAUGGGACCAAAUUGAGAUACUUUAUAGUUAGGGGAUCAGAUAGAAAACUAAAAAUAAAUUAAGGGACUAAAUGAUCUAUUAAGCCUAUAUUAUUUGGUAAGAGUGUUUGGCACUGGUACGUUUUGUACUUUAUAUUUUACUAGCAAAAAGAUGAGCACUCAUGUGACCGUCUUUCCGCUCUAUUUAUUGUACAAACGCGUGUAAAUUAUGAACGAUAUUUUAUAUAAAAUUUAAGUUUUAAUAUUUAUGACUUUUAAAUUGUAACAAACCCAAAAAAGCAUUUUUAUUUUUUUCAAUAACAAUAGUAAUUUAACAAAUAUAAUAUAAAUCUAUAUCUAUACUAUAUAUAAAAAAAUUCAGAUAAAAAAACCUGCAAGGUUUAAUGCAGACUAAAUAUAAUACUUUAUAUUUAGGGUCGUGGUGUUAGUGUUUUGCUUGUUGUUGCUGGCCCUUGUGUUCUUGGUUCUCUGGGACUGUUUGGUAUGCGUUUUUUUUUAUGCUUUCUGUUCAUGAUCAAAGAUUGUAUUGGGUGGUUGAUGUUUGACAUGUUGUUAUAGUUGGUUUCGUAUACCUGUUAGAGGUUGUUGGUUCGAUUAACCCAAAAGGGUCUGACUAGUAACGUAUUAGACUCAUCCUUUGAUCUGAGUUCUUACGCGUCUCUUGGAAACCGUUGUGUUGGUUGGUAUGUCCUUCGAUUCUCUAAUGUUUUCAUAUAUGUUGAGUUCUGCAUAUGUUUCAAGUAGUCAUGGCUACCUAUACUUUGGUACUUGCUCGAAAGAGCUCUUAUGCUUGCGCUUGUUCAGGGAGCUGUUGGCACUUGGAUUACCGUGUUUGCGGUCGAUCCAUUCAAGAUUUCCUAACUGUUUUUGCAGAAUCUUACUCUUCAAAUUUUUUUGUAGCCUGGUUUCGUGCCCGUACGCGGGUUCGCUGGGUUGCACCCGUGACUAGUGAAUUUUUGUUAGAAUAGAUUAGGACUGGUCCACUUGGUAUGAUUUAUUCCUAAAUGGAUUGUGCCUGGGUCAGGUCUCAUGCUCCCCCAAUCUUUAUAUCUUUCUUUUUGUUUUAAUCUAAUUUUUAUUUUGCCUAAAAAAAAGUUAAAUAUAUUUUUGGUUAUUAUGGACAAGAAUAAAAUAUUCAACUCCUCUUUAAGUUAAAGGGUGGCAUACUCCACUAUUACUCUGAAAAUAACUUAUUGACAUUUACAUAACACACUAUAUUUAUUCUUAUGGUGAGUCAAUUCAAUAAAAUUAUUACUUCUAAUAUUUAUACUUAUGUGACGACUUGAUAUCACAUAUGCAUAUAAUAAUCUCAAUAUAUUACCGUUUUCCUAUUUGAAAAUAGUUGUUGACAACCUAUAUAUAUUUUAGGAAUAGUGUUAGAUUGGAUUCUUCACAAAUAUUACUACCAAAUUUUUUUAAUUUAUGUGAUUGAUCAGUAAGAGGUUUUAGGUCUUAUAAAACAAUCCCCUUAUCAUUUUUCCUCAUUGUAGCAAUCAAAGGAUGUGUCAAGUUGUAUAUUCUAUAAUUUUUUAUUUUUUUUAAGUAUUUUAGAUAACGUAUCGUGUCAUACACAUAAAAGUUAAUUUAUUAUUGAAUUAGAGGCCACUUGUCUUUAUUUUUUAAGGGCAGGGACCACUUGUUAUUUGCUUAAAAUUGAACGAAAAUAUUAAGAUUAUAGUCUCUUUAGGAUUACUUAAAAAAUCAACAAGCAAACUAUGAAUGGAUAAUUUAUGAUAUAGCAUAAUAGAAACUAUUAUACAAACCCAGAAUUUUGUUAUUGGAGAACCUCUAACUACCAGUAUAGUUGAAUAUUGGGUUGCAACAGAUACAAGGGGUAUUAAAUAUAUUGAGCAUAUAUCUGUUUCCACAAGUGGAAUCAAUGUCAAAUCUAAAAAAUAUCUCUUAAUUACCUUAAGUGGAAUGGAUGUCCUAGAUUUUUAAUUGGUUAUGUAUCUGUAUUAAGGAUAUAUUACUCGGAAAGAAUAAAUUAGCAUGUGAACUAUUAUAGUUCCCUAAAAAAAAAAGUCAACUAUUAUAGUGGUUUUCCUCUAAAAAAGAGAGUAAAUUACACUUCGCUUUCCUUACAGAUGUUUGAAUUACUGUUCCAUCUCCUCUUAUAUUAAAAUAUACAUUUUAUUCUCCUCUUAUUCAAAACAUAUUAUGCUAAAAAAAAAAUCUAUUAGGGAUUUUGAAUCGUUGAACAACAUAAUUGUUUUACUUAAGUCUUAAGGUGUUUAAAUCUCUUUAGGUCAACAUCCCGAAAUUAUGCUUAAGCAUGUUUAAAUUUGUGAUUAAUGAAAUUACUUUGGUGAUUAGCUAGUGAAUUUCAACUCUUGAUAUAUCCAAUAGCAAUUGCCGCAAAAGUUGUAUAAAUUUAGUUGUACAAAUAUCAUUUAUCUAUAAUACAUUUUUCAUUCCUAAUUUUAUAUCAAAUAAACAUGGUUGGAUGCAAGUGAUUUACAUGUGUUUCCUAUUAUUUAUUUACAUUUUUUAUUACAAUGAUGUAUGUGUUUCUGUUAAUGUUGAAUGCUUAGGGUAUCCAAGUUUAAUCAUUAAUUAACAUAACUAGCAUUCAGAUUUAAGAAACAAGAAAAUUAAUUAAAAAAAAAAUAGUGCUUAUAAAGCGUUUACAUUGAUGAAUGCUUGUGAGUGGUGAUUAGGUUAGGCAUAUACCAUUGAUGCUGAAUUGAUUCCUUUGACCUAGCAAGGUUCAUGUUACCUAUAUAUAUGCAUAUUAAUAGUUUAGCUGCUCAAAGUGCAGGCACCUAGCUAGCUCCUCAUACAAACUUGACUUCUCACAAGGAGGUCUUCUCUCUCUCUAUCUCUCUAGCUUGGUGAGUUUGUCAACAAUUAUCAUUUUUCUUAAUGAAAAAUCAAGCUUUACUUUAUUUUGGUAUAUCAAAAUUAAUCUCUACAUGCAAAUGUAGAAAUUAAUGCUUUGAGAUAACUACAUGGAAAUAUAGAUAUUGUGCUGCUAUAACUUAGAUGAGAGGCCCCACAUAGUACUUUUCUAGUUAUAAAGGCAGUUAUAUAACGUACUUAACAAACAAUCAUUCAUUCCACCUUUGACUACGUGGAUAUGUCUUAUUUUCAUGAAUUUUUCCCAUGCAUUACUUUGGAAAUUCAAUUAGUUCUAGUCUUACUACUCUUUUCGUAAAGUACUAGCUCAUAGAACUUCUUCAAGAAUUAAGAAAUGGUUUCAUGUACCUUUAAUCUUUUAUGCCUAUUUUCAUAUUUCGUUUCAAUGUUAAUCUCCUUUCUCUAAUUUCUGCAUCAGUUUAUUUACCAGAAAUUUAUUUCAUGCAUGUGUAAAAUAACUAUAAAGUGCUUAUAAUUAGAAAGAGAGUACUAAUUACCAUAAUUUGUCACAAGCACCUAUUCUUUACUCCACUUUUUUUUAUCUAUCUUGGUAUUCAUCAAGAUAUUUUAGGAACAAAUUAAUCUUUUCCUCUUUGAUUGCAAUCUGUCCCUACGAACCAAGUACUUUGACAAAUAUAAUAGUAAAUAGCUAACUGAGAAACUAUUUAUUUGUUUAUUUCAAAGGGUGUAGUAGCUAAACUCACACACUACAUGAAGAAAACAGACGAAUUAAGAUUUCGAAUUUGCGCUAAAAUAUAUCAAAUGAUCAUGCAAUAUUUUACAAUACAAACUAGACAAUAAUAAAUUAUUUAAAUAAAUGAGAUCAUGGUAUUGAAAGUAAUAAACAUUAUCUUUGUAAUUUAAACUACAAAUAAUUUGAGAAAGAAAAAUAUGCUAAACAAAACAUUGACUCUUAGUUAAUAUGACAAGAAAAUACUUUUAUUCUUCCCUAAAAUAAAAAAACUUCUUUAAUUCUCUUAUUUAUUAUUUCGUAGGGCCACCAAGAAAGAUAAUUUAAUCAAAAAAAAUUGUCGUCUCUAAAUGUCUAUGUGUCUGAGUCUUUAUAAUUGUUGCUGUCUAAAAUUAAAUUAAGCUAGAACUAGAAACAAAUUGCCGGAAUAUUUCUUAACCAUUAAUUAUAAUUCCUUGGUAACAUCAGAUUUUCUUUUGUUACUAAGGGUCAACUCAUAGGUAGUAUUGAAUCCGUUGAUAAUUGAUUUUUUUUUUUUUUUUUGAGUAUACCUUUCAUACUUUCAUAAGAGAGAGAACUGAUUUAGCUUUGUCAUAACAAUAUUAUUUAUUUCUUGCUAAAUAAAAGAAAAUAUAAUUUGAGGACAAUAUUUUCUUUAAAGAGGAUUAUAUGCUUAAGGACAAUGAUAGUAAUUGGUAAUACAAUAAUGACAUUUAGUAACAUUUGAAAAUUGUAACUAAAUCAAGAAAAAUGUUACUAAUAAAAUUUAGUAACACUUGAAUAAUUGUUAGGUAAAGCCCGUGUUACUAAAGAGUUUUGUCAUACUCGUAUGUUUUCUAUUUCUACUAUGUUGUGAGAGUUAAUUAGAUAUCAAUAAACUUUAGAUAUUUAUUAGAUAUAUAAGCCAAGUGUGGAACAUCGUUAGUGGGUAAUAUGUAAGUAUCUUUGUUAGCACAAUUUGAGCAUCGUGGCUUUCCCGAACUCCAAUGAUCCCUUGAACUCAAUUCACAUAAACUUUUUAAUGGCCUUGUAUGUAUGUAUAUAUAGUCAAAGGUUGGUAAACAUGUCUUUUUGUUCUUAUGUAGGGGACUAGGUAACAAAUUCAGCCAUGUCAGGAGAGCUAGGAGUGCUAAAUGCACUUGAUGUGGCCAAGACACAAUUGUAUCACUUCACUACAAUUGUGAUUGCUGGAAUGGGAUUCUUCACUGAUGCAUAUGAUCUUUUCUGCAUUUCCCUUGUCACAAAGUUGUUAGGGAGAAUAUAUUACACUGAACCAAAUCCAACAAGACCAGGAACACUUCCACCAAGUGCUCAAUCAGCUGUAACUGGUGUUGCACUUGUUGGAACACUAGCAGGCCAAUUAUUCUUUGGUUGGCUUGGCGACAAACUUGGUAGGAAAAAAGUCUAUGGUUUAACACUUAUUCUCAUGGUGGUUUGUUCAGUUGCUUCAGGACUCUCUUUUGGAUCAAGUCCAAAGAGUGUUAUGGCAACACUUUGUUUCUUUAGGUUUUGGCUUGGUUUUGGUAUUGGUGGUGAUUACCCUCUUUCAGCUACAAUCAUGUCUGAAUAUGCUAACAAAAAAACUAGAGGUGCAUUUAUUGCUGCUGUUUUUGCCAUGCAAGGUUUUGGUAUCUUAGGUGGUGGAAUUGUUGCUUUGACUGUGGCUUCUAUAUUUGAUCACAAAUAUAAGGUUCCUACCUUUGAAGAAAAUCCAGCUGCAUCAUUGUUAGUGCCUCAAUUUGAUUAUGUUUGGAGACUUAUUCUUAUGUUCGGUGCUCUUCCAGCUGCAUUGACGUACUACUGGCGAAUGAAAAUGCCAGAAACAGCUCGUUACACGGCUCUUGUUGCUAAGAACGCGAAACAAGCUGCUGCGGAUAUGUCUAAGGUGUUGCAAGUUGAACUUGAAGUUGAAGAGGAGAAGGUAGAAAAAAUGACUAGUGAUAAAAGGAAUAGUUAUGGCUUGUUCAGCAAGCAAUUCGCAGCACGACAUGGUUUGGCUUUGUUUGGAACAUGUAGUACAUGGUUUUUGUUGGAUAUUGCUUUCUAUAGUCAGAAUCUUUUCCAAAAGGACAUUUUUAGCGCAAUCGGAUGGAUCCCUCCGGCAAAAGAAAUGAAUGCAAUUCAUGAGGUUUACAAGAUUGCAAGAGCACAAACACUUAUUGCGUUGUGCAGUACUGUUCCGGGUUACUGGUUCACAGUAGCGUUUAUCGAUCACAUGGGUCGUUUCGCUAUUCAAAUGAUGGGAUUCUUCUUCAUGACUGUUUUCAUGUUUGCACUUGCCAUACCAUAUGAUCAUUGGAGCAAGGAAGAGAAUAGAAUUGGGUUUGUUGUAAUAUACUCACUCACAUUCUUCUUUGCUAAUUUUGGUCCAAAUGCUACGACAUUUGUUGUACCGGCAGAGAUUUUUCCGGCUAGGUUAAGGUCUACCUGUCAUGGAAUCUCAGCUGCUGCAGGAAAGGCAGGAGCAAUUGUUGGUGCAUUUGGAUUCUUGUAUGCUGCACAAAGUAAAGAUCCUACCAAGACCGAUAAAGGGUACCCAACCGGUAUUGGGAUUAAGAACUCUCUUAUCAUGCUUGGUGUGAUCAACUUUGUUGGGAUGUUAUGCACAUUACUUGUUCCGGAAUCAAAGGGAAAAUCGUUGGAAGAGUUAAGUGGAGAGAAUGAGGGAGAAGGUGCCGAGGCCACUGAGCAAGAAGGAUCAAGGGUUUAAACUGCAGUCACAGUCAUAAAUACCGGUGCAUAACAUGAAUUAAUUUUAUAUUUGCAACAUGUUUUUAAAAUCUUAAACCUUCUAUUUUUCCCCUCCAUAGGUUAUCAAUUAAGUAUUAUUAUUUUGUGUGAUUCUACUACUUUGGAAUAUAAGAAGAUUGAAAAGGAAUUUCUGUGAGCCCUAUAUAUAAACCCUAAACCCUAUGUUUAUUGCCUAUUGGUACCCACUGUACUUUGCGGCUGUUGUGAAGAUCAAGUUAUAAUUGCUAGGAUAGUUUCUAUUUGGUUCAUGUUAGUUUUCAACAAAGUGAUUUCAAUUAUGUUGUUUGAACACUUUAAACUAGUUAUUGGUUGUUGUAUUCACAAUAAUGAUGUAGUUCUAUGCUUCUUGGUGCAUGAACAAAUACUACAUAAAGUGUAAGCCCUUGGUUGUAAUUGUAUUUUAGGAAAUAUUUACUAUUUUGUAAUUGAUUUUAGCCUUUGUUUGAGAUUGAGAUAACAUGUAUUUACUUUCCUUUCUCAUUUUAUCACAAUUCUUCAUCUUUUUUUACAUUUUGGUUUUAUGAAGAGGACUAAAAAUAUCUCUAGUUACUUAACUUCUCUUUUGUAGUAAGAAAAAUACUAUGAUCAGAAACAUAAAUCAAGCAUCUGUUACGAACGGUAUACUUGGAAAAACAAUAUCAAUUAUUAACAACUUUAGUCCGUUUGGAUUGACUUAUUUUAGAGCUUAUGCAAAACAGUUUAUGUAAAUAAAUAAGUUUUUAUGUAUUAAUUAUAAGUUGUUAAGGUAAUUUAGGAAAAAACAACUUAUGAAGAUACAGUUUCGUUAGUGAGAACUUAUAAAUUAACACAAAAACUUAUUUAUUUAAAUAAAUUAUUUUUCAUAAGCACAAAAUAAGCUCAAUUCAAACGGAGAUACUACUACCGUUUUUUAAAUUUCUAUAAUUAUUUCCUAAAAAAACAAAAACUAUAAUUAUUGAAUAUGUUCUUACUAAAAGAUAAGUUGAUCAAGAGAACCCCAAGUUCUAUUAUUGGAUGUAAAUAACAAUCUCAUUUUCUUUCUCUUAGGAGGUCUCAUUUUUUUUCUCGUUUCUCAAAUUGUAAUAGAGGAUGUUGUAAGAGUUAACUUAAAAUCAGGUUUCUGCAGAAUCGUGGCACGACGGUUGGGCAACGUGGCACGAUGGAGGUUUUAGUUUUUUGGGCAAGGCACUGGAAAAAUCGUGGCACGAUGGGGUCGCAUCGUGGCACGAUGGUGCGCUGGCGGAUAAAAAUAAAACAUAUUUUGGGUGCAGAUUUGUUACAGAUUUUAAGUAGAUUUGUUACAGAUUUUAAGCAAGACUUUUACUAUAAAUAUAGACCUUGUAUCAAAGCAAACUUUGAGAUAGAGGGGUCUAAAACAAGGGUUUAGAAAAGCAACAACAAAACUAGGGUUUGUAUAGAGUUUGUCUCUUAGGAACAAACACUAGGGUUUGUGGGUUGAUUCACCUUGGGAAACACUAUUAGGAUUGGAGUCUCUUGGUUACGGGAAGAGAUUGGGACUUUGGGUAGAAUUAGGCGGGAGACUUAUUCUUGUAACCCAUUGAUUUCUCUUUGUAACGAAACUCAUCAUAUAGUGGAUUGGAGGGCUGCUCUCUCCCCCAGACUAGGUCAGAUUGGACCGAACUGGGUCAACAAAUAUCUUUGUGUUCUUCUUCUUCUUUGUGUUCUUCUCGCCGUUGUUUUCUACUUUUGGCUUGUAUUUAUAACUUUCAUACACUUUGAUUUUGGUUGCUUGAUUAUCCCUUGCUCCACACAUCAAGUUGUUAUUGGUGUGAUUUUUCAUCGAAUUCACAACAAUUGGCGCCCACCGUGGGGCAAGGGUCAAAGGAUAAUUAAGUAUCAUGGGUUCAAAGUGGGAUAUCGAGAAGUUUACCGGAGAUAACGAUUUCGGGUUAUGGAAGGUAAAGAUGGAAGCGGUGUUAAUACAACAAAAGUGUGAGAAAGCUUUGAAGGGUGAAGGUUCGUUACCGGUCACCAUGUCACAAGCGGAGAAGACCGAGAUGGUGGACAAGGCCAGGAGUGCCGUUGUCUUGUGCCUCGGGGAUAAAGUUUUAAGAGAAGUAACAAAGGAAGCAACCGCGGCAUCGAUGUGGGCAAAGUUGGAAUCUUUGUAUAUGACAAAGUCUUUGGCUCAUCGGCAAUUCCUAAAGCAACGACUCUACUCAUUCAGGAUGGAAGAGUCAAAGGCCAUCAUGGAGCAACUUACGGAGUUCAACAAAAUCCUAGAUGACUUGGAGAAUAUUGAGGUGCAACUUGAGGAUGAGGAUAAAGCUAUACUCUUGUUGUGUGCUCUACUGAAAUCUUUUGAAUCGUUCAAAGAUACCAUGCUCUAUGGCAAGGAAGGCACUGUUACCUUGGAAGAAGUUCAAGCGGCUUUGAGAACCAAGGAGUUGACCAAGUCCAAGGACUUGACUCAUGAACACGGUGAGGGCCUAAGUGUCACAAGAGGGAAUGGUGGAGGUAGAGGUAACCGGAGAAAGAGUGGAAACAAGUCAAGGUUUGAAUGCUUUAACUGUCACAAGAUGGGUCACUUCAAGAAGGAUUGUCCGGAGAUUAAUGAUAACUCCGCAAAAAUUGUCUCUGAGGGUUAUGAGGAUGCGGGUGCUCUGAUGGUGUGGUGUUGUUUGGAGGAUGAAGAAGGUGAUGUGUCUCACCUUGGGAUUGAUGCCUAGUGGAGCGGUGGUCGUCUGGAGAGACGUUAAACACUUAACAUCAGCCUGGAGAGGCGGUGGUAAGAAUACUCAUGAUCUACCUGUUGAGGUGGAGUUUCAAGGUUGAAGAUAUAGUGGGAUGUACGCAUUUGCUAGUUGAGGUAGAGUACGCUCAGCGUGAGGUGGAGUUGAACACACCGGUAAUGGUACGACUAUGAAGACCUUGGGUGCUAUGCUCUAUGGUGAGCAAGGGAUUUCUUCAUGAAGUUGGAGAAUGUGUAGCACGGCUUGCGAGAUUACUCUAAAAGAAUGCCAAGGGUGAUUGGAUGCAAGGUGAUCUUCAAGGAAGCGGGAGAUGUCCUGUGUUGAAGAUGUUAUGGUGAAUGCUUGUGGGACUACCUAAAACUCCUAGUGUAGUUGGACUACAAGGACUCUUCGAGAAGGCGGAAGAUAUUCUGAUGGCUGAAGUGGUUAUGAGGUGUAUACUUGUGGAUUACUCUAAAAGCCAAGGGUGAUUGGGUACAAGUAGAUCUUCAAGGAAAACGGGAGAUAUCUCGUAUUGAAGAGGUUAUGGUAUAGUCUUGUAGAACUACCUGAAAUUCCUAGCGUAGUUGGACUACAAGCAUCUUCGAGAAGGCGGAAGAAAUUCCGAUGGCUGAAGAGGUUGAGGGUGUAAACUUGUGGAGCUACUUGGAGUAGUGGGAAGCAAGGGUUUGAGCAGCAAGGAGGUUGAUGAUUGGCAUCAUCACUGAUUUGAAGUCAAGGUGGAGAAUUGUAAGAGUUAACUUAAAAUCAGGUUUCUGCACGUUAUACCCUGAUUUUUGACCUAAAAAUACUCAUUCAAAUUUAUUUUCUACUACUGAUAAUUGUCAAUUUACUGUUGUUUUACUCUGAACCUUUACUUUGUUUCAUCUGCACCUUUUACUAUCUCUGUCUCAAAGUAUUUUCAAUUGUGAUUUUGUCUGUGAUUUUCUUGCAUAAAACCAUCCAAAGUGUCUUUUCUUGUGUUACAAGUCAUGAGAAAAAGGUCUCUCUGAAUCAUUGCUUUGUUUUCUUGCAUUUUAAUUCAAAUAUUUGCAAAAAUCGUACAAGAAGGGUAUUUUGGUCAUUUCCUGCAGUGGAACCCAUUUUAGUCCCUGUGUUUGUCUCUGAGUCUUUUCAACUUGUUUUACAAAUUAUUGUUGAGUCUUUGUUAAAAAAUCAUUUCAAAAAUUGCAUCUGAGUCAGUUUGAGUCAGUUUAGUCCCUAGGGACAUUUUGGUCUUUUCCCAUCAAAAUUUCGACAGAGAGAUAUUUUAAAAUACCUCAUUUUUGUAAUUGGUUCAUUUUAGUCCUUUUGUUGAUUUUAUUUUAGAUUUCACUUUACGUUUUGUCCAAUUUACCAAUUUCUAGUCCAAUUUUAUUUUUAUUGCAUUUUGGUCCCAAUUUCUUUAAAAAUUGCAUUUUUAGGUUUUUUUUAAUUGCAGAUUAGUCCUUCAAGUUUCUUAUUUUGCAGAAAGGUCCCAAGUCACAAAUUGUACAAGGUCGAGCCAUUUCAAGUCCAAGUACAGGUGUCACCAUUUCACUGGUCCAAAGGCACACUUGACAGCUUAUAAAUAGUGCACAGUGUCAGAACUCCAAUUUCUCUCUCCAUUCAGUUAGAUCAAAAUUCAGAAACCAUCAAGAACAAGCAAGAACCCUAAUUCUCCAGAACCAAAUUCAUGAACAAAUUCAUCAAAUUUUCAUCGAUUCUCAGUGAUUCAUGGUGAAUCUUCAUCAUUGAAUCGUUUUCCUCUGCAAUUCAAGUGCGAAUUCAUCACCAAAUGAUGACAAACUCAAGCACGAUCACAGAGUUUUUGAAGAAGAAGAAGGAACCAAACCAGCAAGAAACACCGAUUUAUUUUCGGUUUCAAGUCAAAAAUCAACAAACAGAAUCAAAUCGAAGAUUUCUAAAAAAUCUUGUUCGAAAUCUCCGAUUAAAUAACAGGUAAACAUAUAACUCCACCGUUCUUUCUUAAAAAGCAUCAAUAAGGACGAAUCCAUGUAGAUUCUCAAGGUUUCAAACAGUUUCUUUCAAAGAAUUUGAAAACCUAAAAAAAAAAAAAAAUUAAAACCGUAACAAAGAAUGUAGAUCUACAAAGAUUCAAGCCUUGCAUGUGAUUUCUGGCGUUAGAUUCAUGUUUAGGGUGAAGAAACGAGUUGAUUGAUGUAGGAUUCAUGAUUUUCUGGUGAGGUUAGGGCUUGCCGGAAUCUGGAAUUCACGGCGGAGUCGAUGAAGAUUCCGAUGAAUCUUCAUCUUCUCCGGCCGUCUCCUUCCAGAAACCGGCGAAGAGAAGAGAGAAGACGAGAGGCUAGUGAGAGAGCGAGGGAGUUAGAGAGAGAAAGGAGUAUUGCAAAUGAAAUAAACGGGUGUCUUUACAUAUAUAUAGGCUAGUGAACCGGACCGGUCCAUUUCCCUUCAAUCUUGGCCGUUUGAUCUAGGGUUUCACUCCCUGGAUCAAUCUUGUGGUUCCUGUGCACCCAGACUUUUAGGCGUUGGGCUUGGGCCUCUGUCUUUGGUUUUCUUUGUUUUCUUUCUAUUUUCUUGCUAUUCACACCUUGUUUGCUUGCUGUUCGAACCUCUGCUUGUUCAAUUUUUCUCAUAAAAUUCCUAAAAGAUCCCUAUGUGUUCUCUAAUGCAUUUUUGAUAUCUUUGUGUUGUUUUUACAUGUCAAAAAUUGAUAAAAAUAUAUGUGUAUUUUCUUGAUUGUUUUUCUUUUUUCUAGUGGAAUUUUGUGCAAUUUCUUGCCACUUUUUGUUCAUAAUAUCUUGAUCCAUGGUAUGAGUGAUUAAUAUGCAAUCUUGUGAUGAAUAUGCUACUGAUCAUAUGCUUGUGUUACUGUUUUUAAUAUGUUUUGUUAGUUUCUUGUGUUUCAAGUAAUGUGUAUCAUUUUAUAUUUUGGUUAUUGUCGUCAUUUUGCCGUUUUAUCUCAUAUUCAAUUGCUUACUUUUUUCUUACCAUUUUAUGCCUUAUACUACUAACCAUUUUAUUUCAUUUUUCAUCCAUUUCUUGAGCAUUUUACCAUUUCAUCCCCAUCUCUCAUAGUUUAGCCACUUUACCUUUUCAAUUUCUAUGUCAAAUGGACAUGUAAUUUUAGGUAGUUUAAUUUCCUUUUAAUUCCUUACAAGACCAUAGCAUGUAAACUAGGACAAUGUAAAGGACAAUGGACUCUCUAUAGUGAUGUACACCGACACAAGCACCGACACGCACACACGUUGUAUGUUUACCGUUUUAGAUGUAUGUUUAGGAGACGCGAUACUUAGAAAAUAUUCAUUUUUCAAAGCAAAUUAAUUCCAUCACUCAAAUCUUUCCUAAUAAACCUUGGAGUCAAAACUCCAUUGUAUUUUCCUUUAUUUUCUUAAUCAAAUUCAAAUGAAUCUUAAUUUCUACUUAGACACUUUUUUCGUUAAUAAUUGAACCAACAAUUCACUAUCUUUUCCUCUCAUGCCUUUACGGCCUCUUUCUCUUCUUCAAAACCAUUUUCAAAAACUAAAAUCAAUUGAAACACACCAAAAAUACUUUUGGAAGAGAACUACAUGGAAUUUUGAUCCCUUAAAAGGGUAUGUAGGCAAGAGGUCAAAACCUCUCCAAGUCCAAUAAAAUGAAAUCUCAUACACUUUCUUUCCAAAUCCUUAACCUAAAUAAACUCUCUUUUUCAAUAAAUAAGCAUAAAAGUAAAGCGUAGACAUAAAGCUAGGAAAACGGUUCCUAUAGAAUACUAUAGUCGUUACGGGUGCUUAACACCUUCCCGUAACGAAAACGACCCCCGAACUUAGAGUUUCUAAGGGUUUUCUCAAUUUUACCCUUCCCAAGAAAAAAUAGAGAAUAUCAAAGAUUGAAAGGUUCAAGCCUAAUUAAUGACUUGAUACCCCAAAAUCGAGAUAACACUGCAGAAUCGUGGCACGACGGCUGGGCAACGUGGCACGAUGGAGGUUUUAGUUUUUUGGGCAAGACACUGGAAAAAUCGUGGCACGAUGGUGCGCUGGCGGAUAAAAAUAAAACAUAUUUUUGGGUGCAGAUUUGUUACAGAUUUUAAGCAGAUUUGUUACAGAUUUUAAGCAAGACUUUUACUAUAAAUAUAGACCUUGUAUCAAAGCAAACUUUGAGAUAGAGGGGGCUGAAACAAGGGUCUAGAAAAGCAACAAGAAAACUAGGGUUUGUGGGUUGAUUCACCUUGGGAAACACUAUUAGGAUUGGAGUCUCUUGGUUACGGGAAGAGAUUGAGCCUUUGGGUAGAAUUAGGCGGGAGACUUAUUCUUGUAACCCAUUGAUUUCUCUUUGUAACGAAACUCAUCAUAUAGUGGAUUGGAGGGCUGCUCUCUCCCCCAGACUAGGUCAGAUUGGACCGAACUGGUCAACAAAUAUCUUUGUGUUCUUCUUCUUCUUUGUGUUCUUCUCGCCGUUGUUUUCUACUUUUGGCUUGUAUUUAUAACUUUCAUACACUUUGAUUUUGGUUGCUUGAUUAUCCGUUGCUCCACACAUCAAGUUGUUAUUGGUGUGAUUUUUCAUCGAAUUCACAACAGAUGUCAAAUCUCAUUUUAUCCCAUGCUUCUCAUUUCUCUCUUGUCGAUUCUUCAUUUUUCUCCCAUUGAUUGCAGAAAGUUACUCAUCAAAUAAUGUCAGACACUUUUGAUUCUCUCCCAUCAACUAUUUGCAUAUUUGUCUAAUUUCUCAGAAUCUUUUUCAUAUUUUCAAGUUGAUUUUGGAAUCAAUUGAUUGUGUUACAAUUUUGUAUCAUUUAUGCUAUUAACUAGUUUGUUUACAAUAUCAAUUACGAUUUCAAGUCAACUUCUUUCUACAAACACAUAUUUCUGGAUCAAUUGGUUUUAUGUAUAUGUUUUGCAUCAUAGAUUUGAUUUCUAGUGGAUUUUAACUAUGCUUUGGCUUCUGAUUUCUCUAAUUUUGACGAUCUGUAUGUUUAAGAUGUAAUGUUUCUAAUUUCAUUUUAUGUUGAUUUAAACUUUGCUCAGGAGUAUUUUUAUCUCCCAUAGACCAAUUCUCAUAUUCCUAAGAUAAUUUUUGCAUCGCUUUUGUCAUAUUUUAUUUACAGCUCAAAACAAAUCAGGUUAUCCAUCUACCUAAUUAUUUUGAGUUAUAGCCAAGUGUGCUCUAAGAAAUGCGAGAAUUGGUAGAUGAGGAUGAAGACAAACCAUAAUCAAAGUUUAAAUCAACAUAAAAUCAAAUUAGAAACAACAAAUCAUAAACAUGCACAUCAUUGAAAAGAAAAUCAAAACUUAAAGCAAAGCUUAAAUCAAUGAAACAAAUCUUUGAUGCAAAAUCUAUACAAAAAAAAAUUUAAAAAAAAAAAAAAAAAACGUGUUUGUAAUGAGAAAAUAGACUUGAAAUGAAUCAUAGUUGAUAUCGUAAACAAACCAGAUAAUAUAAUCAAUGAUAGCACCACAUAACACAAUCAAUUGAUUUCGAAAUCGCCUUGAAAAUCUAAGAAUGAUUUAAGAUAUUACACAAGCACGUGAAGAAAAAAGAAUCAAACAAAGACACGCCAAAAACAUGUGAACCCUAUAAACACAACCAAAUUUAUUUAAAGGAUGUGAAAAACAGAGUUUAUAAAAACAAACUAUUGUAAGAUAAAUUUGAACUGAAUACAUGAAUAUUUAUGUUUUUUGUUCUAAAGAAAGGGGACUAGCAGGGGUGAGAGAGGGAGCAAGGAAACCAGUCCUAUAUAACAAUAGUAUUUGCAACAUUGUUGUAAUGCCAACUGCCCCAGCCCUAGUAAUGAAGACCUGCAAGGCUGUAAAAUAAAGGAGGUUUUAGCUCAAACUCAAAAUAGGCAUAGAGCAGUUGAAUUCAAUUAUUACUUUUUUCAUUCUAGAAAAAAAAAAUAUUAAAUUGCACAAUAAAAUAGAUUUUUUGCAUUUUUUUUUUUGCAAAUCUUCAUAUAUUUUUAAUAAUCACACGUUGUAAAGGAGUGAAAACUUGAAGAUUGCAAAAGACUCGCAACAAUUUUACAAGUGUCAAAACUCUACUGAAAUUGUUUCACAUCAAAGUUCACUUAGAAUUUCUUAACAACCUUCAUAUCUUAGAAAUUCUAGAGUCUUAAGAGUAUAUCUGAUUUGUAUUGUGAACACCACUGAUAGUAUGUCAAGUGUUCAACCUCAAACAUAUUUCUAUGUAAUUGUGUUUGUUUAGAAGUUUCUUGCUUUUGUGCUUGAGCAUAGGAAGACUCUUGCGUUUGUGCUUGAGCAUAGGAAACCUCUUGCUUUUGUGAUUUAGUAGUUUGAAGUCUCUUGUUUUGUGGUUGAGCAACUGUAAUCAGAUAUUGAUUUUAGUGAACUCUCCUUGGAAGCGCAAGGGGGACAAGACUACUUCCGGAUUGUGGAAGGAACAUGUAUAAUUGUCUUGUGCCUUUCACUUCUCUCUAUCUCUUUACAUUAUCCGCUGCAUAAGACUCUGAACUCUGUUCAAGACUCUGAACUCUAUCAGACUCUGAACACUGGACUUAGUUUUAAAAAGAAGAAAAAGCUAACACAAUUCAACCUCCUUCUUAUGUUUUUCUCACCUUCAUAAUUAGUAUGCAUUUUACUUUACACGUGUAUCCUACAAUGUAUUGUCACAUCAAUUAAUGAAUAUUCAAAAGUUUUUAUAUAUUUAUUAAUUGACCUGACAACGUAAUAUUGGAUGUAUAUGUAAAAUAAUUGUACAGUGACAAAAUAUAUUAAUUAAAUUUUUAUAAUAAAUGAGAUGAUAUUUUUUUUUAGAGCAGUGAUAUUUGAACAAUCAUUUGGUGACAACCUACAUUUUCUCUCUUCUUAUUGGUCAAAAAUAACAGAAAGAGAAAAAGGAAGAGAGAGAAUAAAAAGAUAAUGAGUAUGAGAGAGAAGGUUAUACAAAAGUUGUCAUAAAAUGGAUGUACAAAUAUCAUUUUUCUUUUUUUUAAGGGUAAAGAUUCAUGGACACACUUUUAAACCAUAUACCAAUACACACUUGCUACGUGGCAAUUUUUUUUUUUUUUUUUGUCUUAUUCCAACCAUACAAUAAAAUUAAAAGAAAAUAAAAAACAGAAAAUUUGAUAUCUUUCUCCUUCCCCAGCCAGCACCACACCUUCUUCCUCGCUCACCACCACCCCCUCCCUCACAACGCUCUCUCUCUCUCUCUCUCUCUCUCUCUCUCUCUCUCUCUCUCUCUCUCAAAGAGCUCACUUUCUUCUUCGUUCACCCCCCCUCGCCUUCCGCCUCGUCCUCUCUCUACCCUUUCUUCUUUGAUGGUGGAUGAUGAUGGUGGGUAAUGUUUUGGCGCCAGCGUUAGGGGUAGUGGGCAAAUCUGAGUGUUAGGUGUCGGUGGUAAGGUGGUUGUACAGAUCUAAGCCUUUUGAUCCCGGAGUUGGGAUGGUGGCAUAGAUCUGAGUGUUUGGCGCCGAAAACGGUGAGGAAAACGUUGGGAUGCAAGAGUGUAUUGGAACAAAAUGUGUUUAACAUUACCCUUUAAGAGUUUUGAUGAUAACAAGGUAUUAAAAAUUAUCAAUUGGAUAUGCUAAUAUUUGUUCAAGUGUACAGGACCAUAGACAAAAAUUUGUCAUAUUAAAAAGGUUCUGGAAGAACAAAAGAGAGCAAUGGAAUCAACAAAAAGGAAGCUUGAAGCAUCUGAAAAGAAGUGCUCCUGAAGACACAAGUGCUCCUGAAGUGAUGACGUCAUCAGAAGUAAGUUCAUCAGAAGCUGAAGAUCACCAGAAGUUGUCUCAUCAUAAGAUGCAAGAUUUAAAACUUCAAAGGUUGUUCAAUUGAUUUAAUCUCGUCUAAACAAUGCAGAAGACUGGAAAAGUGAAGCAACGACUAUUUUGAAAGGAUUUGAAGGCAUUGAAUGCUUGUUCUCCAAAGAGUGUUGACAAAGUACAAUUGUACGAAGUGUACAACAACUACCUCCACUACUCCUUUUUUGUCUCUGCUACAAGACAAGAAAAACAGCUCUGCCUGCAACGAUGUUCCCUCUCAAUUGAAAUGGAUUUGAAAUUGAUCCUUCAUAGGACAAUAACCAUAUCAGGCAAAAAAUCAUUGGUGAUUGAUCAAAGCUUCAAACGACACUAUUUUGAUGUGCUGGCAAUUCACAACGUCUCUUUCACACCUCCAUAUAAAGGAGUGAAGACUUAGAGAAUGACAAUGCAUGAAAAAGGACUCAACAACAAUUUACAAAGUGCCAAAACUCUGCUGAAAUUGUUAUGCAUUCAAAAUUUCACUUAGAAUUUCUUAUCAACUUUCAUAUCUUAGAAAUUCUAGAGUCUUAAGAGUCUGUAUCUAAUUUGUAUUGUGAACACCACUAAUUGUAUAUCAAGUGUUCAACCUCAAACAUUUUUCUUGUAAUUCUGUUUGAAUUAAGAAGUCUCUUGCAGUUGUGCUUGAGCAUUAGAAGUCUCUUGAUUGUGUUCAGGAGCAUAGGAAGUCUCUUGUAGUUGUGCUUGAGCAUGUGAAGUCUCUUGCUAGUUUUAGCAGUGAGCAAUUGUAAUCAGAUAUUACAUAGUGAACUCUCCUUGGAAGUCCAAGGGGGACAAAACUGACUUCCGGUUUGUGGAAGGAACCUGUAUAAUUGUUUUGUGUCUUUCUUCUCUCUCUCUCUCUCUCUCUCUCUCUCUCUCUCUCUGUGUGUGUUUUAUCCGCUGCAUCUAGUCUUGAACAUUACUUCAGAGUGGUUGUUGCUUUUUGAUGUCGGAGUUGGGAUUGAGGCGUACAUCCACUCUGUGUCGCUGUCGGAAGUGUGUCGGUGUGGUGGUCGGCCGUCGGUGGCCGGUGGCAGGAGGAGAUGUCUAUGAGACAGAAGCCAAGGAAAAGAAGAGAGAAAUUACUUGUCUGUGCAUGUUACUGAAUUGCCCCUCAUUUUUUGUAAUCGGACAAAAUUGCCCCCAAUAUAAUGAAUAAAAAAUGUCAUAUAAGAGGUGUACAUUGGGGGGUUGCCACAUGGGGAUGUACACCAAUCACUACUCUUUUUUUAAAUACUCUAGCUACAUUAGUGUCCAUAAAAUAAAAUAAAAAAUUGGUCAUAAGUAGUUUACACUAGCUAGAAAUUCACGUCCUAUGGUGAAUAAAUGGGGAUUCUGAGAUUUGAAUUACGACUCUUACAUAUUAUAUGCAAUGUCCUUACCAAUUGAGUUAUACGCUGUCAAGAACUAUUAAUAAAAAAUUAUUACCUCUUGUUCUUUUAUUUUGUUCGUACUUCCAUAUUCUUUUUAAUGUUUUUUUUUUGUUCAAAAGAGUUUAGAAGCGAAAUUCACAAGCAAUAACUAUUCAAAAGUGAAGGAUUGCAAAUUCAAAUUAUUUGUGCUGAAAAUUGAAAUGAGUCAUUCAUUUUAAGAUAAUUUUUUUAAAAAAAUAGAUCAUUCAUUGUGUGUAAAAUACUAAAAUAUGGGUUUUGUCUUAAUUAAUAGAUUAAUAAAUAAAAUUUAACUUCUUGAAAAAUAUAUAUUUCAUUAUGUUACCUCAAGCAAGUAAAUAAAAUGUGGGUUUUUUCUUAAUGAUUAACAGAAGUCAAGAUAGGUAAAAAAGGGGUAUUAAUAGAAGUAGCAUGAUUUGCACACUUUGUGCGAGAUGAAUCACUUCUGAUUAUGAAAUUCAUUUUGGCUUGUUCAAAAAAAAAAAAUAGAAGUAGCAUGAUAGGGGAGGCUGCUGAUUUCAUCGACGUUUUCUCCCAUAUUAUGUUUGUUAAUCUUUUUUGCAUGGGAAGUGUUAAUUAAUUUGGGCCAAUUAUGUUUUAAAAGGUGUAAUUGCGAAAUUCAAAUACACUACUUAAGUAGGUAUGGUAACAAAACUCAUGCUCAUAGGUACCCGUCCAAACCAACCCUGAUUUGAUGGGCUUUCUCCAAUUUGACUGAGUUUGGAUAUGAAUUUGGGUUUUCCCCGAUUUCAAAAUACGGGUAAGGGACGGGUAACGAGGAUAUAUGUACUAACCCCGAACCCAUACCCAAACCCUACCCGAAUGUAGAAAUGUCAUAUUUUUGUUUUUGUUGAGGGGGUUGAUAAUGAUAUGUCAUGUUAUUUGGUUUGAUAAUUGUCAUGAUAUAGGAAUUUUCAUUGAUAGUUAAAGGAGCAAUCGAAUUAUUCGGUAUGAAAAUGUUAAAAUAAACGCAAAUUGUUGGAUAAUGCAUUAUAAUAUUACCAUUGAAGCUUAAAAAAAUGCUUUUUUUAUUAAAAAAAAUUGAUUCACUACGGGGACGGGAAUGGGGUUGGAAUACCCGAACCCAUUGGGGACAGGGAUGAGAUUCAAUUUCUCAUCUCCGUUGGAUAUAGGUAGGGUAGCGGAUAAGUAUAUGAGAGUAGGAGAUGGGGAUGGAGAUGAGGAUGGAGAUUGCAAAACCCAUCCCCACCCCACCCCAUUGCCAUGUUUAUACUUAAGUGUCGAAAAACGAAAAAUUGCGGUUUUGAACUUGCAAACUAAUAUAUAUCAAAUGUAUAUUCAUUCUCCUACCAUCUUAAUUGUACUUAAGUGACAAAACUUGGAUUAAUUUAUUUGGACUGGUUUCGUAAUGAGUUGUAUUCAAUCAUUCUCUUCUUUACAAUUUUGGGUGAAAGUGGUCAUUGUAUUUUCUUAAAUAACUUUUUUGCUUAUAUAAAAAGAGAGAGAAAAAAAGAUCGUUUAUUGUCUCUACUUUGAUUAUAGAAUAGAAGUUUAAGACUUAAUCAAACGUUAUAAAAUAAUAAAGAUAGUAAGUCUUGCAAAUAAAAUAAAAAAUGAGAGUGCUGAUAAAGCCAAAACCUUACACAAAUUGAGGGAUUAAAAAGUUACUCACGUCUAUGCAUAAUCAUACUUACACUCAAUAUUCUCCACCAAUGAUAAAAUUUGAGGAGUUACUUCAACUUUAGAAAUUAAUUUUUUUUUUUGACAAGACUUUAGAAAUUAAUUAUUAUAUAUUGAGUGUAAUAUGGAUUAAUCAUAUACUAAUUCAUUAUAUGCGUGACUAGUCAAACAAGAUAAACCUGGAUGGUAAUUGAUUGUAAUGCACCACCAACAUUGAAUUAAAAAUUAGCAAGUUUUUUUUUGUUGGAAAAAAUUAACAAGUUAAAUACCAAAAUGUGAUUUAAUUUUUUUAAUACGCAAAUUUUAAUGGUUAAUCUGUUAGGAGGAAAAAUUGUGAAUUUUUUAGUGCAUAAAUCAAACCGUUGACCUUUUUAUUGAACUCGUUUAGUCUCAACUCAUAUCAUUGGACUCUACCUUCGAGAAUGUACCAAAAUGUGUUUAGUUAGACCUAGCAGGGCCACAUAAAUGAACUCGAACAUACUUUUCUUGAAAAAUUGUUCUUCUCCCAUUUAAAAUUGCUCACUCCUUUGAUCUAUCGGGAGUUAACUCAUACUCGGCAUUAUUCAACGGUAGCUAACCCACAUUGUCACUGUUAGAUUAGUUCAAUCAUUUUUUAAAUCGAGUCAACCAAUCUUAAAAGUCUCAGCAUGAGUUAACUACCGCUGAAAAAUGUCGAGCCCGAGUUAACUUCAUCUGAAUCAAGGGAAUGAACAAUUUUAAAAGGGAGAAAAGCAAUUUUCCUUUUCUUGAACUCAUUAAGGUUCCAAAUUCUUUUAUAAAAGGGCCACUACACUGCUUUCAUAUAUGCACCAUUCAUACAUAGAAACCAAUAGCCAAAAAAUGUCUCCCAAAUACAUAUCACUGUGUCUUCUAUUAGGGAUAGUACUUCUUGCCACCACUUCUCUAGCUGAUCUUUCAGAGGAUGAAUCCUCUGUAAGUGUUAAUUCUUGGAAACAUAAGCCACCUAAGAAACACUGGCCACCAAAGAAACACUGGCCACCUACCACAACUACACAAAAUGAUCUCCCAAAAGUGGACCAAGAAAUCCCACAAAACAAACAAGCACAAGAGGACCAUACUAUAGUUGAGGAUAGUCACAAGCAUCACCACAAGCGUCCAUGGAAGAAGCAUCCUCCUUCAGGAAAUUAAUUAAUCAUCUGAAACUGUUCACCAUGCAUGCAAUCUUGUGAAAUAUAUGGUUUUAAUUAGACUUCAAUCUUAUGUUGGCUAUUGUACUAAUAAAAGCAUGUCAUGUUAUUUUCAUUUGAUUUUAUCUGUACUUUGGUUUGUUUGAAGAAUAAAGAUGAGCUUGCUAUGCAUGCAUGCAUGCCAUCGAUUAUCAGGGUUUCCUUUUUUCUUUUCUGGCUUCCCAUCAAUUUGGUGUGAAUUAGUGUGUGUGAUAUAUUAUAUUAUGCUAUUUAUGAAAUAAAUUGUUGGUUAUAUUUGAUCUACAAUCUACAUACAUGUGAUUUUUAUCAACAAAAUAUCUCGGGAAACAAUACCUUUUUGGUAGCAAAAUUCAAAUAAUACUAUUUUAAAUAAAUCAAAGUUAACCAAUACCUUAUUCAAGUUGGAGGGGUCUCAAACAAGCAAAAGAAUUCAAGUUGUUACUGAACUUCGGUUAAUGAUAAAAGAAUUCGCAUUUAAAAAUUCUACUCAGAAUUUAACCAACUUCUAAAUCAAAUUAUAUAUUGUCGAAGUCCCUUUUCAGAUCAAUAACACAUUCCACAUUUUUUGUCCAAUUUUUUUUUCUUGCUUUACAUUGCUCAAAUCUUAAUAGAAGAUGGAUAAUAUUGUUUUCUCUCGUGCUUCUCAUUUAUCUCUCAUCGAUUCCUCGUUUUUCUAUAGUCGAUUGCAUAAUUAACUCAUCAAAGAAUCUCUCAAACAUCUCAUUGCACUCAUGUUGAUUUAUCAACUACUCGUCUAAUUUCUCGAAUCUUUCUUAAAUUUUGAGGUUAGUUUUAGAAUUAAUUAACUGUGUUAUGAAGGGCUAUCAUUGGUGCAAUUUUUUUUUUUUUUUUUGACAAAAUCAUUGGUGCUAUUAUGAUAUCAAUUUUGUUUAAUCAAGUCAAAAUUUUCUGGAUUAAAACAUAUGUUUUCUCUUUAAAAUUAUUGUAUGUAUACAUUUUACAUCAAAGAUUUAAUUACUAGUUUAUUUUAACCCUGCUUAGCGUUUUUUAUUUAUUUAUUUAAUGAUGUGUAUGUUUAGAAUUUGUUAUUUAUAAUAAUUUUAUGUUGUUUUAAACUUUGAUAAAGUCUGUCAUUUAUCCUUUCAUGUUCAAACUUCCAUGUCUUUUAGAAAUUUUAUUUACAUUUCUUGCGGUAUAUCUUUCUGCAACUCAAAUCAAUCAGGUUAUCUUUAAAUUGAAUAUUUUUAGCUGCAGAUAGGUAUGACAUAAGAAAUGCAAAAAAAUAUCCAAAAGAUAUAAGAAUUGGUGAUGAGAAUGAAGACAAACCAUAAGCAUAGUUAAAAUCAAACAUAAAAUCAAAAACAACAAAAACAUACACAUCAUUGAAAAGAAAAAUGAAAACCCUAAAUCAAAGUUAAAAUAAGUUGUGAAUCAAGUAUAUGAUGGAAAACAAAUACAAAAAUUCACUUGAACUAAAAACUAUGUGUUUGAAACUUUAAAAUUCACUUGAAAUGAACAAGGUUGAUACCAUGAACAAACAAGAUAAUAACAUCAAUGAUAGCACAUCGUAACAAAAUCAAUUAAUUCCAAUAUAGACUUAAAAAUCUGAGAAUGGUUUGAAAAAUUAAACAAAUAGGCAAAGAAAUAGAAUCAGAGAGAGAGAGGAGGUGCGAAGAACAUCUUUGAUAAUUAAGAUUUUGCAAUCAAUAGAAGAGAAAUAAAGAUUCGAUGAAAGAAAAAUGAAAGGUAACAAUAUUUGCCAUCCAUCUUCUAGUAUGAUUUGAGACAUGAGAAGCAAGAAGAAGAAAAAAAAUGAACGAAAAUGAGUUUGUUACCAAUCUCAAAAAUUACUAAGAUUAGAAUUUAAAAAAAUAAUUAAUAGUAGUUAUAAGAAUUAAAAAAUGUUAUCUAAUUACAAUUAAUAUUGAAAACAAAUUUUAAGUAUUGCGUGAAAAUAGUACAUCAAAACCACCAAAUGAAAAUUGUUUUGUUGGUUGCAUAUCAAAAAUGUUUUUAAGCUCCCUUUUGAAGGUGGUGUUGCAUUACAUCCAAAAUGUUGUAAUGUAAAGAAUAUAUAAAUAAUUAGGAAAACUCAAAUAGAAACGAAAAUUCAGAUGCAAACUAUGUGUCUUGCCCAUAUUUAUAUAACUACGACUAAAAUAUUUCCUAUUUAGUAUUCUUUGUUCUUCAAAGUCUACACACACAAAAAGAGAUAGAAGAAAAGUCAAGAGAUCCGAAAAUGGAGUAAUGUACACCACAACUUAAAAUGAUCAACUCAUGAUGAACAAACAUGAGAAAAUUCAAACACAACCAAAAUUAUAUAAAGAAGUGAAAACACAAAUUUGAAUUGACUACAUGAUUUUUUCUGUUCUAAAGAAAGGGGACGAGUAAGGAAGAGAGAAGGAACAAGGAAACCUAUAUAAGAGUUUUUGCAAACUAUCCUAAAGAUUGAAUUCAAAAGCAAUGUAUGUCCACCAUUUUUGUGAAAGAAAUACGAUCCAAAAGAAAGGAGGUUUGGCUCAAACUCAAAAUAGGCAUAGAACAGUUGAACUCAAUUACUACUUUCUCCGUUUCAGUCAAAGAAAAUAUUUCAUUUGUCAAAAGUUUAUUUGAUAUAAAUUUCCUCAGAAGAAAAAAUUUAUUCAAGAAAUUUAUUUUCAUUUUUAUAUAUUAAAAUUUAUUCUUAUGUGUGUUAGUGUAUAAAAUUUAUACUAUCACAUAAUAUACGUGACUUUAAAGAUAAUUAAGGAAAAAAUCAAACGGUUAUAAUUAUCUAAUUAUUUAAAAUAUAUUCGCACCGUUUGUGCUUAUAAAUGAAAGGGUAAAGUUUUGUGUACACCCUUUUUUUUUUUACAAUACCCCGUUAUGGGUUAAGAUCGUCUUCAUUUGCUUAAAAUCAAUGGACAAUGUCAUUUGGUGAGAGAUAGAUACAAAAAAGUGCUAUCCACUAAAUGAGUCUUACCACUAUUAAUUAUUUUCAAACUUCUUUGUGUCUAUAUAUCUUCAAACGAAAGAAAUUGAGACACUAAUAAAUGGAAAAGAUCUUAAACCCCCGUUAUAUACCUGCUGAUGUGGCAAAAUUUUUUAUACAAAUAAAAAACAUAAACAAGGACCAGAUUUUGCAUGGUGUUCAAUAAUAUUCAAUUGAAUGGUAUUAUUAUACUUUGGUCAAAGCAAUCCAAUGGUUGGAAUAGCAAUGUGUUUUUUUUCUAGCACUAAAUCCCAAUCCCAGAAAUAACACACAAUCAACUCUCUCUCUCUCCUCUAUCUUCCGCUCAUGUUCCCAUACAUUCUCUCUCUCUCUCUCUCUCUCUCUCUCUCUCUCUCUCUCUCCAUCUUCUGCUCACCCUCAUCAUUUUCAUUGUGGCAUUUGCUCUGCUCACAAUCUCUCUCGUCGUUUCUGUCUCACAAUAUCUCUCUGAAUAAUAUGUGACUUGAACUCCCGUGACAUCGACGACGACUAUGGUUAGGUUGACGAUGGCAGUGGUGAGAUUUGAGGGUGACGACGACGAAUGAUGAUGAUGAUGAGACAUGCAUUAAGGACCACGGCGAUGACAUUAUUGGUGGGGAAAGGGUGGUGGAAGGAGGGAGUCCAGGGUGGAUGAACGGUGUUGGAUUUGAGGGCGAUGGUGGCGGUGAUUAGGCAUAUGAAGGUUUGUCGCCAUCCUUUCCUCCCUAACACUACUUUUAAUGGUCUCCUUGUCGAGUCGGCUUCUACGUGUGUUCCCAGCCAUAUCUACACAAAAACAAAAUAAAAAAAUCAAUGAAAUAUUCAUUUAGGCAUUUUAUCAAACACUUUGUAUGCAAAAGAUAAAACAAUGAUUCAUUGUGUUAAUUCAACUUCUACACAACCAGAUUGUACAUAAACAUACUUUAAACAACAUUCGCAGCAACAACAUUCAAAUAUAACAUCAUAAACUAACCAAAAAUUUGGUUUGUAAACUAACCCUAAACACUAACAUUUUACUAAAAUUAUAAACAAAAACAAAAAAAACAACUUAUACGAACUGCAAUGUAAAUUAAAAAGAUUAAUAAUACUUACUUGUGAUUUUGUUAAAAUGAUUUGGUUGAUUUUCAUGAAAAUGAGAUUGGAGUGAAUUUGUAGGAAGUUUGGAGGUUUUGGGUUAUUAAACAUGCAAUCCAUAAUUGUUGUUGUUGUCUGGAAUAUGUUCAGAUCCCAACAGCAGUUAACUACAGUUGGAAAAGAAAGGAUCUGUAGUUAACUACCGUUAAAAAGGCUGAACGGUAGUUAGCUGAAGUUGGGGCUAAAAUAGUUUUUUAUGUAACACCCUACUUCUAUUAAAGUGAUAAAACGCGCGAAUAAUACAAAUAUUCAAGAAAUAGACGUCAUGUCAUCAAUUGUUCUCAAAACAUGCAUACUAAAAAUUUCUCAAAAACGUCGCAACGGAUAAAUAGCAUACACCUCCAAGUAUCCAGGUCAUAUACAUCAUAAAUAUAUCACCAAAUAAAUCUCCAAUCUCAACAUAUGAGCAAACGUCUCAAAAACAUAUAAAAUAGUCAACAACAAAGAGAAAAAGGACUGACACCCUAAAUCAGAGCCCUAUACUAAGACUCUGAAACAGAUAAAUAGAGGAAGCUCCCGCUAUCCUCAAGCACUCACCAAGCAAGCAACAAAGCUACUUUUGGACGUCGUCUACACCAUAUUUGAAUAUAGUGUGGCGGUCAACCAAACGACCACUGAGGGUUAGUUCACAUUGCAUAAACAAGCAUAAUUGAUUUGAAAAGGUUUUUAUCAAUUUAAAUUUCAAAUGAUUAAACAAAAGAUAAUUCAACUUCAACAUUAUUCAUCAACACAUAUAAAUUCACAUCACAAGUAUGCAAUUCAUCAAUCACAUAAAUCACCACACACAUAAGCAAUUAGAACUCAUGUCAAAUCAUGUUAUGCGACUAGACACGACUCCUAUAUGCAUGUGGUAUCAUUCUCUAACAAGGUUGUCACCUCAUGAUGCAACAAAAACAUCAUAAUCACCUUCAUUUUGAAUACAAAGUAUCUGAUCACCUUCAUUGGAUAUAAAUAUCCUACUACUUAUGAUGCAUGACAAUACGACAUAUUAUGUACAUGUUCAACAACAAAUUCACCAUCAUUUUCACAUUCAUAUUGCAUACAUGCAUUCACCAUCAUUUACAUGUAAUAAUUCAACAACAUAAUUCAAUACAUGCAAUUACCGCAUCCAGUCAUCAACAUUUAGCAUGUAUACAUCAACAGCCAACAACGUAAUUAUCAUGCUAUAAUUCAUCGACAUAAACACCGUCAUCAAGUUCAACAUUAAGGAAUUCAACCAAAACUAAGCAAACAUGUUCACUUGCCUCAACAAAAUACAUGCAUUACUCACAUAUGUUCAUAGUAUCUUAGGCACAUGAGUAUCCUAUGCCAAUUCCAAUAAAUGACAAAAUCAUGCCAAGUUCGUAUCAUUUUAAAAAAACGAUCAUUUUGACAUUUUCAAAACAAGACAACUUAUUUCAAGUAUGCAGACUUACAAUUCAAUCCUAAUCGAUCAUUUAAUCAUGAACAUAGGCCACUUACAAACUAUCAAGUCUUAGUUCAAAGUUUCACCAAAGUGCAUUUGAGAAAAUCCUAAGUUUCGUCUAUUUCGGUGAAAAUUCACAUUUUCCGGUUAGUUCUAAAGAAACAAGGAAACCAACUCAUUUACCUCAACUAUGCAUAUACAAUAAUCACAUUUGUGUGCAAUUGCAUAUACAUGUGUGUUUCACCGGCCAAUUGCGAUUAAAACGCCAAUUCGACAAUUUUCGGCUCAAAAAUAAAGUUAACUAAACACAAAUGAAAACCAAUUGUAAACCAAGGCAGAAUCAAGCUAUGACACUCUCAGAAGCUUAAUUAUACAUUGAUUGAAUAGGGUUAGGUGUUUGGAAUCCGUUGGCAUGCUUAAAACUACACAAAAACACGAAAAACGAGGUAUCGAGGUUUUGAAGAAUUGACACACGGUCGUGUCACCCCUUACAUUAGACCCUGACACGGUCGUGUCACCUAGACACACGGCCCUGUCACCUCACCAGUACAGCAAAAUGCAUUUUUGCAUUUUCGCGCGUAAAAUCUUGUUUUCAAAUCCGAUUUCGAUUUCGUUUUCUCCAAUGCAUCCCUAACACUUAGACCAUAUAAAAUACACUUGAAAACUUGGAAUUUUAACUCAAAACAACUUAAUCAACCUCAUCCCAAAAUGACUUUUACUAAAAAACCUGAUUUCUCAAAAGUUACAAAAUCAACACAAUUCAAUCCCAACAACAUUUUCGUCAACACCCAAAGCAUAAAUUGAUGAGAAUGUCAUAACAGAACAACAACUACAUCAUAUAAUCAUGAUCUCACCAUCAUUCAACAACCACAACAUCAAUUUUCAUCAAAUUGAGCAAAAAUCAUCAAAGGCUCAUAUAAUCACAAUUUAAACAAGUAAAUUCAACAACAACAACAUGUUUAUCAUCAAAUUCACAUACCCAAAAUUAACAUCAAAGUAAGAACACAAACUUCAUCAUUUAAAUUCACAAAAAGCACAAUUCAUAAAAUAAGCACUUAUGAAAUUAAGUAGAAAAAGAAUUUUUACCUUUAAUUAUAAAUGUACACUCUCCCCCUUACCUCAAUUGAGCACAAUCCUAGCCUUGGAUUCACUUUUUCUCCAACCUCUUGAAUCUCUACCCUUUUCUCCCUCUCCAAAGUUUUUCUUCUCUCUAACUCUUGUUCUUGCUCUUUCUCUCUCUACCUCUCAAAAGUUUUAUGAAAUGUGUAAAUAACUGUAAGACCUAAUUUAUCUUAAGUCUAAAGUUUAUAUAGGCUCUACAUAAAUGGGCUCAACUCUCAAUGGUCUUAAUGGGCUCAAAGUUCACACUAAGUAAUUUACAAAGUUUUUACUCACUUAACAGAUAAAAAUAACGAAUAGUUACCAGCUCUUAACUAAUUAAUUACUCCGUCUUAUUAGUAACUUGGUAGAAAUAAUUCUUGCCACUAAAACGCUACAAAUAAUCUUCACAAUGAAAUUACUACACAUAAUAAACAAAUAAAAUAAAUCUAGCGAAAAUCGGGUUGUUACAAUUUACAUGUGUGUGAUAGCAAUUUUUCAAGUGGGAUUAGCAAUUUUCAAAAGGUAUGGGCCAAAUAAGUCCAUAAGCUUUUUUUUGACAAAAAAAAAAGCCCAUAAACUUAUGAACAAGUAUGAAAAUUGUUGUACAUAAGAAGCCUGAAACUGCAACACCGUCUUGUCACCUCUAUUUGAGUUUGACUUCAUUCGUUGAUGUUGAUUGCAUAAUUGCUUGAUAUUUGUUAUGCAAUCUUGUCUUUUUCUCUUCAAAUUUAACAAAAUAUUCUUGGAUGCACCUUGCUUUUGGUAAGUCACGUACAAUCUUCUUGUCAUCCUCUUUUAAUCUACCGGUAAGCAUGUGUCCUUCUAAAGUCGGCUCCAUCGCAUGGUUGUGAACUUCAUUAACAAUUUCAAUCUCCAUUCAUUUGUUUGCCUACACAGAUAUUCACUAACCAUGAACAUACACCCACAUUUUCUUGAGCCCGUUGUCUCAUUCUUCAGUUUUUUUUUGGCACUUUGUGAGCUCCACUUCUUUCACACACUAGUCGCACCAUAGGAUUGAUCAAACUAGAUCUUUAUAAUAACAAUAGUAAAUUCCGCCUUAUUUGCUUGACGACGUACCCAAUUAAGCAACUCAUCUCUAUCUUUUCAUUUAACGUCAUUAGAAAAAAAACUUAGCUGUGUCAACUUCGUUGGCAUGAAGUGGGAGGACACCGGAGGCAACAUAUAAUGAAGCUUCAACAUGGAUGGAAGCUCUAUCAUGUUUGGUUUGGCUUCAACCUUAGGCGGUUUGACAUCUCCGGAUUUUUCAACAAAAUUUGAUUUUGUCUCUUCCGGAUAUCAUCCGCGUUCUCAACCAUUACUAUAAAUAUACAACACAAAACUAUGAAUUAACAACUAACUAAUGCAUAAACAUCAAUUUCAUAAUGAAUUAAAAAAAAAAAAAAAACAGCCAAAAAAAUUGAAAAAGAGGCAAGAAUUCUACCGGUUUUCCUCUACAGUUAACUCCCGAAAUCCUUCGGCAGUUAACUGUCGAUGCUCCCAUGCCUCGGCACUUAACUGUCGAUGUCCCUAUGACAGACAGUGUUUCAUGCAAACUGACACAAAAAAAAACCCAAAUACAACUAAAAAAACUAAUUAAAUGCAACGAUACAUGUUUUUUUACGUCAAAAGUGUGUUGAUAUCUACUAGGAGUGAUGCUUCAAUGAUUUUGGAGCAAGAUUUGAUGAAAAACUAUUGACUUUUGGGGGUUUAGAUGGAAGAGGAAGGAAAGCUGAUGAUGAAAUAGCGAGUAGGGGGAGCAGCUGCCUUCCGAAGAAUUCAAAACAACGGCGGCAGUUAACUGCCGAGGAAUAGUAAAAUCGUCGACAGUUAACUACCGAUGAGUAUUGCGGUCUUUUACAUGUGUGUUUCAGCCUUUUUAUUUGUGUGAACAACAAUUUUCAAACAAGUAUACCGCCUGUUUUCAAAAUCAUCUCUAUUUUUUUUGGUUACAAAAUCAUCUCCAUUUCUUAACGGAGAAAUAAGUUAUUUUUACUGGACAAUUAAAUAUUAGAUAAUACACCUUUAAAAAAAUAUUAGAUAAUACUGUAGUUUUUCUUUGGUAGUGUAGAUGAUACCGUAGUUUAUUAGACUUCACCUAAUUCUUCUCUUAUUGUAUAAACUUUAAUCAGUGAUUUAAUAAUUAUUAUUAUAUGGAAUUGCCAAGAUCGUUUGUUCUUGUCCUUUACAAAAUUAGCCAAGUUCACUUAAUCAUGCCACGGUGGAGCCCAUAUACAAAAGCUAAAUCUUGGAUUUCCAUUAUAUAUAUAAUAGCGAAUACGUGUCCGUCUUUCCGCUCUUUUUAUUCCACACGUUAGUGCAAUAAAAAAUUAGACUAUUUUAUAAUCAUUGAUAUUGAAAAUUAUAAAUAUUAAACUAUUUUUUUCUUAAAUGGUGACUCAAAGUUAAUAGAUAUAAAAAAAAUUAUGUUAGAGUUGAUUAAAUAGUAGUACAUAUUUAAUUCUUGAGGGAGAUAAGUGUAAUUCAAGCAACUAUUAAGAGAGGAGCAUAUAAUUUGAUAUAGUUUUUUUUUUUUUUUUAGGGAAUUGCUCUAGGUUUUUAUUUCUCAAGGGACAAGAGUGAAUAUUUUAACAUAAAAGGUGAGAGGAGUGUAAUUUAAAUUUUUCUUAAGCAAGAAGAGAGUAAUUUACUCUUAGUAAUUUCAUGUUGCUAUUAAAAAUUAGGAAUUUGAUAUGAAACAAAUACUUAAAUUCAGACAUAAUCUUAUGUGUAUUCACGCAAUCAAAAUCAUUGGUAGUCGUCUGAUCAGAUUGGUCCACGAGAAAGUGGACUUCAAAUUUGAUACUAUACUUUAAAAAGCUAAAAUGAAAUUUUAACUUCUUAAUCUUAAUCGAACGACCGCUAAUGAUCAAGUAGAUGUAAAUGGAGAACGCAUAAUAUACGAAAGGUCCGAUAUUCAAAUUCCGACAAAAAAAAUGUAAGCAGAUAAAUCAUGACUUGUUUUAGUUUACUUGUGUCUGAAAAACCUAGGAAGUUUCCUAUCAGAACAACAAAAUUGAAUAUUGGACCACUGAAAUUAAAACCAAGGGAAAAUGGUAAAACAUUAAAAUGUAAUGUAUGAUAAAUAAAUACCCACGUGAGGUUUAGAUUCAUAGCUUUUGGUCCAAGUAUCAUAUACCAUUUGAAUAAGACCAUAACCAACUUCCAAAAAAGUUUAUUUCCCUUCAAAGUUGGACUCGAUGACGUUAGUAAAGAGUUUAAUAUUACUCACUCUUCCAAGUUUUAGAUUUUUUAUCAUUCAAUUCUAGAAAACUCUCACCAACUUAAUAAUAAUGCACUUUAGCUCUUUCCUUCCACUUUCCUUCAUCAAAUUUAGGGUAUAAAAUAUUACAAUUAAUGUAUUUUUAUUUUUGAAUUCCCUUUUGAACAAGUAAAUUUUCAUGCAUGAGUCUUUUUCCUACCAACGUGCUUUCAAGUCUUUGUUUUGUUGAUGUAUAGUUAUAGUCACGAGAUAGACCUAGCCUAUUAGGAUGGCAAACUUGCUAGGCCACCUGUUUUGAAUAGAACAAGAUAGGAAAGUUUGAUAUCCUAUGAAAUCAUUGUCUUUUUCGAUGUUGCUAAAAAUAGCAUCAUAUCCCCACGUCAAAUACUUUGUUAAUUAAAAAAAUUAAAAGAAAUAUCGUCUUUGUAAAACCAUAUCCAUCUUAAUUCAUCAAUCAAAAAGUAGUACUCCUUGAAUGGUAUAUGUAUGUAAAAAAAUAUAAAGAAAAUGGUAAAUUUGGUCUAUGAAUCUGCACUUUGCUGUCACAAAGUCUCCGAUUUAAGAUUAAAUACAAAGUAGUACUCCUUGAAUGUGCACGUCUGUUAUCAGCUUAAUCUCUAACAUUACAAACUUAAGUUAACUGAUGAGAUGACAUGCAUGAGCUGUCAUAGGGGCUAAAGUGAAAGUAGAAAAUGGUCAUUUUAGUCCCUGAACCGAAAAUCAAUAUCCCUAAAUUGAAUCUUAAAUCCCUAAAUCUUGAAUUUAAUCCCUAAAUCAUUAAAUCUUUAAAUCUCAUCUAAUUCCGUCUAUGUUCAGAAUCAAUUUAUUUUCCUUUUUUUUUUUGCAGUUGUUAAUCAGUGGAGAUUUGUGGUAAGAAAAGAACAUAGUAAACUCCAAAUCUUUUAUGCUGCCAAACAAAGGAGUUUAGUUUAUAUGGGUGUCGACUAUUAUAAUGGCUUAACUAAACAUGAUCGAAAAUAGCUUCAACCAUAAUUUACUUUCUACUAACAAACAUGCAUGUAGAAACAUACUAAUGAAAUUCCCUACACUUACAUUAUAGAAUGAGCGAAAAAUUAUACUUUUAAUAUGGUGAUUUCUUAUAAAAACUAGAAUUCAGUACAAUCCAAGGAAUUAGCAACAACAAUCUAUGGAAUUAGAGAAAUGAUAUUUGAACAACCAUUUUAUUACAGCUUUUGUGAGAACUUUUUAUUGUGUUAGUUUUUAUGUCAAAACAUACAUUUCUUUGUAUUUUUUUACAGUCCCAUAAAAUAAUUGUUCAAAUAACAUUCUUUUGUCAUUAAGCUUUUUAUUGUGGCAAAAUCAAUCAUCGUAAACAUGAAAAAUCUCUUAAUCAUUGUUAUUAAUAUCUUGUAACUGUGAUUGUUCCACUCUUGAGAAAAGUAUCAAACAAAUCCACUAGUUUUUCUUGUUCUUGUUUUGUCAUAAACUGAUACAAAAUUUGUCGCCAUACUAGAAGUCUGAAAUUUUUGCACUUGAAGACAAAAAGGUUGCCAAAUUGCAAAAGAGAUCCUCGUGUGCACCAACACGUGGCUUAAAAUAGUUCAAAACUCGAGCAUGCAUCUUGACUUAAGACUUGAAUUUCAUAAGAUCUAAAUAAACGGUUAUCUCAAUCAAUUAAGACAUUUUUUUUUUUGACAAGUCGUUAUUUGACCCAACAAUCAAUUUAAACAGUACUGUAAUUUUCAUAUUUACAAACAACUAAAAUGAAGAGAGAAUAAAAAACCACGUAUAUAAGGAUUUUUUUUAAAACAAAAUGAAAAUUUGACAUUAUAUUAUGACUAAUAUUCUUUUAAAUUUAUAUGAUUCGAUUAAAUUUAUUAUUAAAGUUGGACUAUAUGAUUCGAUUAAAUUUACUAAAUUUUAAAUUAUUAUUAAAACUGAAAGUAUUAGACAACAUUAGUCUUUAGACCGAUUAGUUUUGUGCCUAAAUUUUUCAAAGGAAUAGUCAAUAAUGUAAUCAAUUUUUUUUACUUAAAUCAUUUUUAAGAUCAAAUGUCCAACUCCUAUAUUUUUAAAAUGAUAAAAUUAGUAUUUGUCAAAAAAAUUUGAUAAAAAUAGUAAGUUUUAGUCACCAUUUAAUAUAUAGGUUGUUUGACCAUGCAUCUUGACUUUACAUAAUGUAACAUUUGACAUAAUCAAAAUCAUAAAAUUUGUAGACUAAUUUAGAAUAUUUUUUUUUUUAAAAGGGAUUUACUUAGAAUGGUAUAAAGCUAACGAAAUAGUUGAACUCAAUUGACUAAUAAUUUUUUUUGUGAAAUAGUUUAGUGGUUAGAAUUCACUUUUUAAUUUUAUAAUUUUUUUUUUUUUGAAGGAUGGUUAAUAAAUUUUAUUAAAUGUUAAAUUGACUAGGAAUAACUAAACUUUGACUAAAACAACUAUUAACUAGUCGAUCAAAAAAAAAAAAAAAAAACUAUUAACUAAACUAUACUUACACUCCUAAACAUUUAAAAUGAUCAUGAACUUUAUCCUUGAAGCCAUAGGAUUAUGACAAAAAAAAAAACACAAUUUGUAGAUGCAAAACACCUUAUAAUAGAAAAGAAAAAAAAAAUAUGGAUUAAAUAAACAAAUAUAUUUGUAUAUAGUUCACCAUUGAAUUUAAUUAAUGGCUACAAAUUACAUUAAUUCACCAAAUAUUUUGAUUAUCAUCAGAAGAAGACAUCAACAAUUGUUCCAAAUAAUCAGCACCAAGAUCUUCAAACACAACCAAAUUAUCUAACCUAACAUCUGUGUCAUGUUUCUUCUUCUUUUCAUCCAUUUUACGUUUCAUUGAAUGUUUUCUCUUCAAAGCAAUAACAGGUGAACACUCAUUAUCAUUAGACAACAAAUAAUUCAUGUCCCUAAGUGAUUCCUUAACCUUUUCAACUGAAAAAUUAAGUGUUGCAGAUGAACCUCUCAUUGAAAAAGCAGCUUGAUCAUAAGCUAGUGCUGCUGCUUCAGCACUAUCAAAUGUUCCUAACCAUACCCUUAUGCCAUGUCUAGUUGAAUCCCUUAUUUCUGCUGCAAAUUUCCCCCAUGGUCUACGUCGAACGCCACGAUAAGACUUAUUAUUCUUAUCUUUGUUGCUCUUUGUUGUUUUUUCGUUGCUAGUUUUGCUUAGUGUUUGUUCUUGUGGUGAUGAAGUUAUCAUGCCAUAUAGAAGCAUUUCUUCUGGGUCGUUUUCAUUGAAAGGGAGAAACUCGUUGUGGUUUUUCGGAUUCAAAGAGAUUGAAUCUUGUGACCCAAAUGAAGAUUGUGGAAAAAAAUUUGAUUUUGAUGAGAAGGGUAUGAAGGAACAAUCCAUUUCUAAGUGUUGUGUGUGUGUGUGUGAAUGUAUUUGAAGAAUAAAGAGUGAAGAAAGAAAAAACAGAGUUGCUCUGAUUUUUCUCAAUGUUGAAUUGAAACGUUACUACCUUUGCUUAUAUAUACCAAUUUUGGGUACACUAUAAAAUGGUAAAAGUCACUACAAGAGCCAAUAGGUUAAGAAAGUGUGUAAAGAGGUUAACUCAAUAGGUAUAUAUAUAGUACAAUCUAUAAAGAAUUCAAAAACCUUGUUGUUGUGCACUCUUUUCAUUGGUCAAAAACAAUGGAGAGAAAGAAUAGGAAGAUAAUGUGAGUAUGAAAGAGAAAGUUGUACAAAAAUGGUUGUACAAAUAUCAUUUCUCAUCUAUAAAGCACCGACAUUAUAAGGUUGUUCUGGUGUCAGACAUAUGUCGUGUCUAACACCGACCUAACACGAACACAUAUAAUUACACUGAAUCAUAUCAUUUUCUUGAAUUAUUAACGGUGUUGAUGUAUCAGUAUCCGUGUCGUUUAGAUCUUUGUGUGCAUAUUCGUGCUUCAUAGUCGUCGUUCAUAGUAUCUACCACAAAGGUAUUCUUCCAUGUUCACAAGACCAAAUCAAUAAUGUUUGGAGACACACAUAAAAAGAUUCUCCUCAAAAUAUUCAAUCAUCUUUUUUAUCAAUUUCCUCCUUAUUAUUAAAAAAAUAUUUUUUUUUAUGUGUGUGUGACCAAACACUUUUUCUUUGAUCAUGUGAUCAUAUUAGAAUUUCUCUCUACCACAAUGGUUUUAUGGUUACGUAGUCUCCACACUUUCCUUGAUAUUAUUUUAGGAUUUUUAAAUGGAUAUUUGCAUAACUACGUGACAAAAUAAAUCAUAUUAAACAAGUGGUUAUUGCAUUUCAUAUUCGAAUUCUUGCAAGAAAUUUUUUAAUAAAAUUUUACUUAUCUCAUCAUUGAAUUUUAAAUUAGCAGACAGUUUUUCAUAAAAAAAUUGUGGAUUUUUAUGGUUUACAUCAUCCGGAAUGGGAGGAUUUUCAAUCAUAAGGCUGACCUUCUCCAUUCCUUAAUUAAAAAAUUUAAAGGGUGUUGGGGUUUAAAAUCGAAUUAUGUAUUGUUUGAUUUUGAUUACCUCACUUUAGGGGAUUAAAAAAACAAGUCAUAUUAAUUAAUGUAAAAUGAGUUUUUUUUUAGAAUUAAUCUGAUCAACGCUGCUAUAUAUAGCAAAGUGCUUGUUCAUGAAACAUCCCUAAACCUCACUUGGGGGAUUAAAAAGAACAACUCUUAAUUUGUGUAAAAUUAGAUUUUUUUAGUAUUAAUUGGAUCAACAACAACACUACUAUAUAUAGCGAAGUACUUGUUUUUGAAACAUCACAACCCUCAAGUCAGGAAGCACCACAUUUACGGCAAAGCUUUUUCUCAUGAUCUUUCAUGUUGUUGCAUUAUUAGGAUCAAACUCGAGACUUAUCGCUAAUAUUAAAAUAGAUAGACUCGUGUUUUUAAUUCUACCAAAAAAGGGGAGUUUUACAAAUUAAUAAUUAUUAUUGAUGAUAAUAUGUAAAAAUAAUUUAUACAUAAAAACAUUGUAUUAUUAAUUUCAAAAACUCAUUCACAUUGUGACAAAUAUGCAUAAUAUGAUUGUCCUCACGAGCUUAGCUCAAUUAGUAGGAACAGUGCAUAAUAUGUGCAAGGUCCAGGGUUUGAACCACGAACACAAAAAAAAAGUAUAAUAUAAUUGAAAGUUCUAAGAACGUUAUAUAUUUUUUUUAAUUAAAAAAUAAUAUUCAUUCAUUCAUUUAAAUUGGUAGUAGACUUCGAUAGAAUAACACAAAUUAAAAUUACUAAAACCUAUAAAUACCACAAAAUUAAAAUGUCUAAAUUGUGACAAAACCUAUAAAUACCACAAUUAAAAUGUCUGAAAUACACAUACCUCUAGAUAUGGGUUGAAGAUGUUAAAAUCAUUGACUUAACCUUCAUUCGAUCGAAAAUAGUCUUCAUUAUGGACUGAAUAAACAACGUGAUGAAACGAAAAAUCAAAAUAAUUUGCAUAAUUUUUUAUGAUUUUUUUUUUACUAAAUUUGAAACAAAUUAUAAAUUUUUACUUCAUUGAUCAACAUAAUAUAUAUAUAUAUAUAUAAUUGUUAAAAAAUUAGAUUCAAUUAAAUAUAAAUUUACCCCUACAAAAAAUUAAAUAUAAAUUUAUUUAAUUUAGUUGUGCAAAAUAUUUGGUUUGAAAAAUAUUCAUACAAGAGACAAACUAUAUAUUUGCCACUCCUAACAGAUAAGUGUUUGGUGAGGCUUUCUUUGGGGUUUGACUCCUGCCCUUUCUUGUUUUCCUCAAAAGAAGAAGGUUCCACGAAACCACGAAAUGGAAGGAAUUUGGGCGCAAUCUUCCACAUGGGAUUUGUAUUUUCUUUUCGAGCAAUAUUAUAUCUUUGGAAAAAUAACAUAAGAAUUCUUCAAGAAUAAAGAUCAGCCAAUCACAAUGCACUAUUUGCCAUAAUUUAAGGAGGUGUGGCUGAAUAAUAGGAAGUGAACAAAUAAAUCAUACAAUUAAAUUUUGUCAGUUGUGUAUUGAAAAAUUCUUGAUGCUAUUUUUCUAGAGAAAUAGCAUUUUCCUUUUAUAAAUGAGGAAAAGUAAAGAGUUCUUUUUUCAGCGUCCACAAUAGUAGUCCACUAAUAAAGACUUUUUAAAUGGAUAUCUUAUGUGUACACAUCAUUUAUUUAUAAUUUUUAAAUAAAAGUACAUAUUAAGGACUCAAUGACUCCAAUGAACAUACACUAGUAAGACCAUCAACAUCAGAGCACCCUGAAUUGGGUGCUUAAAUAGAUCCCCUAUGUCUAUCUCGUUUAUUUUACGGUAAUACUUAAUAAGCAUCAAUUUUCUCCAACCCAGCACCUCAAAAGAAAUUAUUAAAUUUGUCUCACAAAUAAUUCUAUAUCAUUCCAUUUCAACAAAAUUUAUUUAUUUUAUUAAGAUUUAUUAAAUGGGACUUGUGAAAAUUGAAGAGAAAGAGGGUGCUUCCAUAGCCACUCUUCUACAUAGGCACCCAUAUAUUAUACUUCAUAAUGAGGGUGUUAUUUAAUGUGGUGCUAAAUAGGUGAAACA
rnacentral:lncRNA from 1 species